AUCCGUGUGAAGCUAGCACUUUUGAAUCCAUACGUGCUCACCAGUUCCCGCUCUCGAUCUCAUUUUUGUCUAGGCCAUGAAGGUCUUGCUGGCUUGUUGAAUUUAAAAUGAGGUUGGGAUGUGAGGUGAAGAGGGUUUGCCAUGUGGAAGAUGGUAGACUUUGGAGCCAUAAGAGUUGGGAUAGGAGUGGUGCCUGCUUGGAGUUA
rnacentral:lncRNA from 1 species